UACGUAGGGUGCGAGCGUUGUCCGGAAUUAUUGGGCGUAAAGAGCUCGUAGGCGGUUUGUCGCGUCGGCCGUGAAAACUUGGGGCUUAACCCCAAGCCUGCGGUCGAUACGGGCAGACUUGAGUUCGGCAGGGGGAGACUGGAAUUCCUGGUGUAGCGGUGAAAUGCGCAGAUAUCAGGAGGAACACCGGUGGCGAAGGCGGGUCUCUGGGCCGAUACUGACGCUGAGGAGCGAAAGCGUGGGGAGCGAACAGG
rnacentral:rRNA from 1 species